rnacentral:misc_RNA from 1 species
GUUGGUGAACCAGCGGAGGGAUCAUUACAAGAAGCCGAAAGGCUACUUAAAACCAUCGCGAACCCAUCCAUGUUGCUUCGGCGGCGCGGAGCCCCUCACGGGGCGCCGCAGCCCGGCCUCUCCGGAGGUGCGGGGCGCCCGCCGGAGGUACUAAACUCUCCUGUAUUAUAGUGGCAUCUCUGAUUAUAAAACAAAUAAGUUAAAACUUUCAACAACGGAUCUCUUGGUUCUG